AAUAGUUUCUUUGGUGGUGACCUACUACAUGGAUAACCGUAGUAAUUCUAGAGCUAAUACAUGCGUAAAUCUCGACUCACGAAGAGACGUAUUUAUUAGAUAAAGACCGACCUCGUUCUGCGGUGAAUCAUAAUAACUUCACGGACCGCAUGGCUUUAUGCCGGCGGUGUUCCAUUCAAAUUUCUGCCCUAUCAACUUUCGACGGUAGGAUAGAGGCCUACCGUGGUGUUCACGGGUGACGGAGAAUUAGGGUUCGAUUCACGGAGAGGGAGCCUGAGAAACGGCUACCACA
rnacentral:rRNA from 1 species